rnacentral:rRNA from 1 species
GUCGGAGGAGGCAACCGUUAUCCGGAAUUAUUGGGCGUAAAGGGUACGUAGGCGGCUGGUCAAGUCUGGGGUCAAAGGCCACAGCUCAACUGUGGGAAGGCCCUGGAAACUGACCGGCUAGAGUGAGGUAGGGGUUGCGGGAAGUCCCGGUGUAGCGGUGAAAUGCGUAGAGAUCGGGAAGAACACCUGAUGCGGAAACGCGCAACUGGGCCUCAACUGAAGCUGAGGUACGAAAGCUAGGGGAGCGAAUGGG